rnacentral:misc_RNA from 1 species
GAUGAAGAACGCAGCGAAAUGCGAUAAGUAGUGUGAAUUGCAGAAUUCAGUGAAUCAUCGAAUCUUUGAACGCACAUUGCGCCUCCUGGUAUUCCGGGAGGCAUGCCUGUUCGAGCGUCAUUAAAAUCACUCAAGCUUAGGUUUACCUAUUGCUUGGUCUUGGAGAUGGAAGCCAAUUUAUUGGAAUCCUCUUCGAAAUUCAAUGGCGAAGACCCUUGCUCUCCCAAGUGUAGUAAUAACUUAUGUCACUGAAGGAAGCGAGAAAUCUUCUGCCGUAACCCCCAUAUUUUCUAUGAUUGACCUCGGAUCAGGUAGGGAUACCCGCUGAACUUAAGCAUAUCAAUAAGCGGAGGA